GGUCUGAGAGGAUGAUCAGUCACAUUGGGACUGAGACACGGCCCAAACUCCUACGGGAGGCAGCAGUGGGGAAUAUUGGACAAUGGGCGCAAGCCUGAUCCAGCCAUGCCGCGUGAGUGAUGAAGGCCUUAGGGUUGUAAAGCUCUUUCACCGGUGAAGAUAAUGACGGUAACCGGAGAAGAAGCCCCGGCUAACUUCGUGCCAGCAGCCGCGGUAAUA
rnacentral:rRNA from 1 species